rnacentral:piRNA from 1 species
UCCCAGGGUGUAAGUCAGAAAUUCUUGU